rnacentral:lncRNA from 1 species
AGCAGCCCUCCUCCUAAAACACAAAACCCACAUCAUCAAUCCCAAAACUAAAGAGCCAAGUACAAUCAGUAGACAUACCACAAAAAAGAUCCGAUUUUAACAUCGAGAACAACUAAAUUUAAGCAACCCUCCUCCUAAAACACACAACCCAUAUCACUAACACCAAAAUUAAAGACCCAAGUACAAUCAGUAGACAGAUUUUUGUACAAUCAGUAGCAAAAACACAAAAAAGAUCAGAUUUUUACUACAAGAACAGCUAAAUUUAGCAACCCUCAUCCUAAACACAAACCCACAUCAUAAAUACUGAAAUUAAACACAAGGAAACAAAAACUACCUAAAAAGGAUCAAGAUCAGUACAGAUCGAAAAGAAACCCCCAAAAAAAGAAACAGUUAAACUAAGAAGAAACAGUGAAGAAACAAAUCAAAACUGAAAAUUGGUGAAGACUUACUGAGUAUAGCAAAAACAAAAUGCAAAGAUUUAGAGAAAAGACUGUUACCCCUCCCUCUAUUAUACCCUUUUUGACAAAAAUUAGGGAGGGCCGUUCAAAAGAGAGAUUUUUUGAGAGAAGAAACUAGUC